rnacentral:rRNA from 1 species
CAAUAGCGUAUAUUAAAGUUGUUGCAGUUAAAAGCUCGUAGUUGAAUUUCGGCGUGAAGAGACUUGGUCGGCGGCACUGCCGUUUGUUUUUUACUGAGUUGCUCUUUCGCUUUCUGGCGGCAAACGGAUCUGCACUUAAUUGGGUGGGUUCGGGAACCGUCUCUUUUACUGUGAAAAAAUUAGAGUGUUUAAGGCAGGCAUUUAUUGCUCUGAAUACAUUAGCAUGGAAUAAUAAGAUAGGACGUUGUAUACUAUUUUGUUGGUUUGCGUAUCUACGUAAUGAUUAAUAGGGAUAGUUGGGGGUAUUCGUAUUGCGAUGUCAGAGGUGAAAUUCUUAGAUUUUCGCAAGACGAACUACUGCGAAAGCAUUUACCAAGGAUGUUUUCAUUAAUCAAGAACGAAAGUUAGGGGAUCGAAGAUGAUUAGAUACCA